rnacentral:rRNA from 1 species
GGACGUCUUUCUUCGGAGAGGCUAGUAUACUGGCGAACGGGUGAGUAACGCGUAGGUAACCUGCCUAUGAGUUUGGGAUAACACUGCUAACGCGGUGCUAAUACCGGAUGAAGCGUAUAGAUCGCAUGAUAGAUACGUUAAAGGCGGCUUAUGGCUGUCGCUAAUAGAUGGACCUGCGUCUCAUUAGCUGGUUGGUAGGGUAACGGCCUACCAAGGCGACGAUGGGUAGCCGACCUGAGAGGGUGAUCGGCCACACUGGGACUGAGAUACGGCCCAGACUCCUACGGGAGGCAGCAGUAGGGAAUUUUCCACAAUGGACGAAAGUCUGAUGGAGCAAUGCCGCGUAAUUGAUGAAGGUUUUAGGAUUGUAAAGAUUUGUUGUUAGGAAAGAAAAAAUGUAAUGGGAAAUAAUUACAUUCUGACGGUACCUAACCAGAAAGCCAUGGCUAACUAUGUGCCAGCAGCCGCGGUAAUACAUAGAUGGCAAGCGUUAUCCGGAUUUAUUGGGCGUAAAGCAUGCGCAGACGGUUUAGUAAGUUUAAGGUUUAAGCCUGGAGCUCAACUCCAGCCCGCAUUGGAUACUAGUAAACUAGAGUUAUAGAGGGGCAAGUGGAAUUCCUAGUGUAUCGGUGGAAUGAAUAGAUAUUAGGAGGAACACCAGUGGCGAAGGCGACUUGCUGGCUAUAAACUGACAGUCAUGGACGAAAGCGUGGGGAGCAAACGGGAUUAGAUACCCUGGUAGUCCCCU